ensembl:lncRNA
CCAUACCAUCCUAUUGCACCAACUCUUCCAUUAUCACCAUUAAAAUUGUAUAUUUCUAUCUAUUGUAAAGUAGUAAAAUCAUUUCUAAAAAUAAGCCAUUACUCAAAACCCUAAACGUAUUACUCAUAACCUAAUACAUUGUGAGUAACCUAAUAUAUUACUCAUAAUGUAUUAGGUUAUGGAAAUAAAAACCGUUCUGGUUGGGACGUUAUGCUGGAGUUAGGGGAGAAAAAAAUGAUAGUUUAGAAUAAACCCCACCCACACACUGCUGUCCUUUCACUUCCUUGGCAGUUCUGAGGUACUCCAUGGAGCCCAUUAGUAGAGGUUGAAAGCCACUGAACUACACUUGAAAGCCACUAAGUCCCUUUCUUAGAACAGCUUGCAAAGCCCUCCAUGACAUAACAUUCCUCCCCACUCUACCCUUCAUAUGCCAACAAUAUUAAGCCCACGGUAGUUUUUCCGGAUACCAUGCUGUUUCUCAUUUCCUGAUUUUCUUUUAUUACCCUUACCUAAUAAACACCCAUUGAGGGAGUUCCCUUGUGGCACAGGGUGUUAAGGCUCCAGCACUGCCACUGCAAUGGCUGGGGUUGCUAUUGCAGCACAAGUUCAUCCCUGGCCUGGGAUUUUUCACAUGCCAUGAGCACAGCCAAAAAAACCCCCAAAACAAAAAUACCCACUGAGCCGCUCCAUUUGUAUCAUGUGACCAUAUACUAUGCAGCUUUAGGAUUUAAAUCAGAUAAUCAUCCAUUCAUUCAUUUAUUCAAACAUCCGUGUGUUGGCAAAAUAAGAUCCUUGCUCUUCUGGAGUGUCUUAACUUUGUGGUGGCGUCUAGACAGACAGUAAGUCAACAAACCUAUAAACCACAGCAAACAGAGAACUGCUUGAAUCACUUUGAUUAGUGCCAUGGUGGCCAUGAAAUAGACACUCAAGAAACUGUGAAUGAACAUAAUUGUCAUACGCAGUGAUAGAUGCUUUUACAUGUUCACUCAUUUCAAUUCUCAAAAUUAUGUUAAGAAAUAAGUGUCAUUCCACCACUUCGGUAGAUGAGGAGACAAGCCUCAGAAAGCUUUACAAAUUUACCUAGAGCCACACAGCUGGAGAGUGACAGAAUCUGAAUACAAAUUCAGAAACUUUCAAUUUCAGAAACCAGCCAUGUUCAUGAUAAUACUGGUUUUCAGGUGCUAUAAAAAAAUAAAGGAUAUCCAUCCUAAUCUGAAGUCAAUUCACAUGUAUAAAUCUCUCCAUCCUAGAUGGAUUUCUCUAAAGUCUAGGAGGCUUAGAAGAAGUUUUACAUUGUAGCACUUUAGAAUUCAAAAGAUCUUAAUCAUGAGCAGCGAAUCUGCAAAAUAUGCUCUUGGAGCCCCACUGAUUUCAGCAAUAGGAGAGAACAGCCUCCUGCAGCAUCUGUUAGAGUGAAAUGGCUUAGAGGCAGCAGAGGAAAAACAUAAAUAGUGUACUGAACACCUGGUAUUUAAGGCAUUCUUUGCUAUAUAAGCACCAAAUUAAAGCUUCAGUUAUUCAUUCUGAAAAUGCUUAGAGCUUUGCAGUAAGAUUCACAAAUAAUGGAUGGGAGCUUCCAACAUAACCACUAACAAAUGAUUUAUAGUAAUAUAUGGUUGUCACAAGAAUAUAGUGAGAAAAAAAUUGUUAAAAAUAAGGCACUUGAGUGCCUGGACUGCAGGUUACUGGUGCCCAGAUGUGGAAAAACACUCCAGUUUGACAGACAGAUAAAGUGUUUUCCUGUAGAGUCUGAAUAAAUGUUCUUCUUGAGUCUGCCAAUAUAAAUUCCCAUGAGAAAACAAAACCAGAAAAGCUCAAGUUCGUAGUUUAUCCCAAAUUAUUCCCUUCCAUUUAUUGUUUAAAUAGGGAGACCAUAUAGGAAUUGAGCAUAAUCUGGACAGGUAUGAUUUGUCAUCAAGGUAGAAAUAUCCCCCUAAAAUUAUUUCCUAAUUGUUUCAUUAAAAUUUAGUAAUUUAAAAUCUGUCUAACUGCUGGACAAGUGUGGAAAAAUCAUUAGCUGUUUUUGUGUCUUUCAUAUGCAGAACGCUUCCAGGCUUCUGUGCAGAAAGUCAUUUUGAAAAAAAAAAAAAAGGAUUUUAUUGCUACUACCUCCAAAUGUUGUAACCUGUUUAGAUACUUAUACUUCUUUGUUUUUAGAUCAGAGUCUCCUGCUUUACUAGUUUGACUUAUUUUUCUAGUUUAUAAAAGCAAAUUAAAAUAGAGUCUUUAAAAUGUUAGUUCAGCUUCCAUGUAUAGUUAUAUAUUUUGAAAUUUAUAUUCAUACAGUGCCCUUUUCAUUCAUAUAAAAUUAAUAAUAAUGUUAUUCUAUGUCAUUUCUUCAUAUGAUGUUAAAUUAUAAAUACCAUCACUGUUAACAGAAUAUUAAACAGAAUAUUCCAUUGAAAAAGUAUUCUAGAGUUUACUUAAUCUUGGUUUUGGAUAUUUAGAUAAUUUUCACAUUAUUUUCUGUAUUAUUACUAUCGUUUGCCUGACCUUUAAGAGACAUCAUGAAUUUUAUAUAUUAAGUUUUCUUGAUUACAAAAAUUAACUUAUAGAAGACUGCCAGUCAACUUAUUUUUUUUCCUGUGUUUCCGUAUUUUAAAAUGGAUUGCCAUCUUUUUUCGGAUACAUGAAACAUACAAUAGCCAUUAUGUUUAAAACAAGAGGACUUCUCAAAUCCACUACACAGUUCACAGUAAUUCUGCAAGGCAAAUGUUAUUCUCAAGGAUAAAGUAUUUAAAGUGUUUAAGCAAUGUUUUCACGGCUUGUUACAAGGGGUGUCUGCAGGGUUGUAUGAGCGAGAAGUAUCAAAGGGAAGUAACAGCCCAGGUUUGUGGAGAGGAGGUGGAACUCUGUCUCAGACACACUGGAUUUCUGUUGCCUGUAGGAUACCCAAAUGCAGUUUAUAUAGUAGCAAGGUGCAUACACAUUGGAACUUUCAAGAGAGUAUUCCUCUGAAGAUAGCAAUUUGGGAGUCCUCCACAUAAAUGAAUUUCAAGUCAUGGAUCUGAAAGGGAUUACUCUUGUAAAGUAUAAAACUUGUGAGGUAAAGGGAGGCAAGUACCAAAUCUUGGAGGAGCAGAUAUACCUGGCAAGAAGAAAGGAAACUAAGAAAGAAGAAACAGUGUGAGCGACAGGGGGGAGGAGCAGUGGGUGAAGUCUCGCAAAUCAAGGAAGGAGACAAUUUCAAGGACAGGACACAGGUCUCUCAGCUCUAAAGGUGCUAUGGGGCAUCUUGGUUGGGCGAAGCUUCAGUGGUGUUCUGGAGUUGGAGGGGAAUUUUAGUGGGUGAGUGAGCAGUGUCCUAUUUAAUACGAAGCACUGUUUUAGAGGACACACGUGAAAAAUGAGGAGGACAUUUUAUUGCUUUCCUAUAAACCAUGGUAACAGAGCUCCUGCUCAGUGUGUGGAAGGAAGAGUCAGCUCACCAUGGAGACACUCAGAGGGUCCCUCUGAGUAAGUGCAGCUCUGAAUUCAGCUGUUUAUGGAAACAUGGCACCUAAGGUUUUCUCCCCAUAAAUAGUGCAAUAUCAGUCAGGAAGGGCAACAGAUACGACCUCUCCAUUAAGCUAUAUCCCUAAUGACUAAAACCAACAGCAAGUACUCCUUUACUCUUUACUCUGCCCAAGCCAUGGUUAACUAUUAAAAAUAUUAAACUGUGAAUUAAACAUAUUAUACUAAGAAAUAUUAAGAUAUAUAAGAAUCAAAAUAGCAAAUAAGGAUGUUAACAGCUGCCUUAGCCCACUGGCACACCAUUUCCAUUUGCCAGGAGCCAAAGAGAAUGGCAGGAUUCUGGUUUUGAGCAGUUUGCAAUUUGUUAAGUUACAUACUUUUUAUAAACCUUUUAAAAGAAAUCAAUAAAUUGCAGGGCAUUGUGGAAAGCUGUGCACACAUUACGGUCCCCUCUCCCUCCCCCAUAGCCUGACCUUUAAACAGCUCAGCCCUCACAUUCACCUCCAGCUGCAGUGCCAACAGAAGGCACACAGAGGAAAAGUGCAACUGGGAUUUCUUGACACCCACAGAUAAUUACUAUACUGUUUGAAUCUGAAGGAGAUGACUCUUUGUUCUGCUUUUCUUUUGUUUAGCAAAAAAGAACUAUUUACAGCUUAACUUCAAUGUUUGUUUUAUAUUCAAAGCAUUAUCACACUACGGAGAUCUCAUGAAGCCCACGGCAUUAUUAUUCACAAUAUUAAAGAGCGAACUGGGUAAAAGAUAGUUUCAGUUACAUAAAAUGAACAAAUGUAGUGUCAAGUACAAAGAUGUGUGUUUAGCAUAAUAAGCCUCCCCUCUUUCCCAAGAGAUCCCAAAACGUUGGUAUUACCAAAGCUUGUCUAUACUUCUAAGUCUCAAAGAGGCUGGAUUAUGGAGAUGCUACAGGUGGAUCCUGUCGAGUCCCUCCCUUAGAUAACAGGGGUUCCUCUGCUCUCUCACUGUAUUAUUCAUUCAAGGGAAAAAUAAUUGAACACAACUUUUCUCCCCUAUUUUUAGGACCUUGAGCACAAAGGAGCUCACAGUGAAGCAGAAGAAUUGCACAGAAAGGAGAGAAGAUGCUGGUGGUGGGUACAUGGGAGCCUUAGUGGAGCCUGCCUGCCAGAAGGCCUGAUGGGAGACUGAGGCUGGAGUUGGCUGCAGUGUCUGACACUAUUUUUGAUUACAAAGUUAUUAAACAUAACUUUCUGUCAUCAAGACACAAGUCUGGUCAAGGGAGAAAAAUAAACAAAGCACACUUCACCUCAGAGCUAUAACAGUCAUUAAGUAAUAGCCCACUGAUUGAUGUGGAGAAAUAACCUAUGUAUCUACUUCUAGACCUUUAUCUCUACCUAGAAAAAUCAAUGAUGAUAGAAAAUAAAUUGAUACUAAAAUAUUAGUAUAUUUAAUAUUGUUAUUAAACAAUUAAAAUGUUAUAAAUGUAUUUUUAAAAUCAAAAGAUAAACUCUCAAUAUAAAUUUAAAGUGGACAUAUCCAUCCCUAGUUUUUAAAAAUAUUAACAGUUUUGAAAUAUAAGUACAUUAGUGCUAAAUAUUAAAGUGAUAUCUUUUUACACAUAGCCUCUGAAGGGCAGCAAAUUUGUUUUUGUUUCUCCAGUGCUUGCACAGUGCCUGAUAUACUAUAGGUCAGCCUUUCAAUUUGUUGAAAGGCUGUGAAAUCACUGGAACCAACUAAAUUAUUAUUGCCCAAUAAUAUUAUUUAUUAAUAAAAAUACUGUCCAAUAUUUUGUAUAUGUGAUACAUUUCCAGGGUAUUGUACAGUCCCCUUAAUUGAGUGCUGAAAGACAAAGAAUGCAGUGCUUUAGAUACAAGAGAUGUUAUAUCUACUCAUAUAAUGAUAUUAAAAAAGCACAACACUAGCCUUUUAAUUUUAUAACUCCUUGUUUUCAUUUCACAGCUAUGUGAAAUAGAGCACAGUAACAUUGCAAUUUUGGAAAAAUGACCUAGACAGCAAGACAAAUUUCCCAGAAGGGAGAUAUUUGGCGUCAGUGAAAGGGAAUUGUUUAACAAACCAGUCAGAAUAACUGCAACUAAACAUCCAUUAUAUGAUGUUAGACUAGCCUAGGGAAUCAAUUGAUAUUUUAAUAGAGUUUGUUGAUGAAAAUUUCCUUCUUUAGGAAAAUAAAAACAUUUGAUACUUCUUACAUACCUAGAAAAAUUGAUAAUAGUAUAUUGGGGUAUAUUGGUGUUUUUUUAAAUUAUGAUUAAUGCAAUGUGUCUAGAUUUAUUUUUUCCAAGAUUUUUCCAUCUGUUGGUGCCAUCAACUCUUGAACAAAUUGGGGGAUUGUUGUAUUAUCUUGUUUCAUGAACAAUACGGCAAAGAUAACAUUUAACUCCUUUCAUUUCUCUGUGCUAAGACUCUUCACUGUAAACUUUUUACUUUCACGGAAAAUCAAGAGGAAAUUUUAUACCACUUCAAUCACACGUUUCUUUUUUUCCCCCUUUCUUCAAGCUUAAAAUGUGCACCAAAUACAAUAUGCUCAUAUGUAAAAUUCUAAACAAAUAUUUAAUGAAGAAUUACACGUGCAAGUCAUCAUAUCAGAAGAAAUAAAUGACAAUGUGAUAUAAAACACAGUCCUUUUCCUACACAUUGUUUACAUUUGGUCAACCAGACCUAUAAAAAUAAUUCAAACAAUAAAUGCUAAUAUUGCUCCCUAUCCCCAGAAACUAAUCUCCAUGUUCUGAUGCCAAUGCCAGUGAGUGUGAAUCACUAUCAUCAGGUCCCUAAGAAGAAAAAUGGGUACCACAAAGACUCCUUCCUCUCCUUAAUCCUAAAUAUAUAAAUGCCCUAGAUUCUGCCAUGUUAAUUUAUCUUUAACUGACUCCUCCUUCUUCCUUCAUCUUUCACAUUGGCAGAAACGGUUUGUUGCCCCAAAAUUAAACCCUGAUCCCAUUAUAACCCACCAAAAACUUUGCACUUGCCUAGAGAAUAAAUUAUCUUGCUUCUUUCUCAUGGCACCUGCUAGUACCUAGUAUCUUUCAGCCUCAUCAAACUGCUAGAAGUUCUGCAUAUUCUGCUGUUUUGAUCACUGUGCUCUGAUAGAUCAAACAUCUGUAUGACAUUAAUCCUUGCACUCAGUCAUUUUUUUUCCAGCAAAUAUUUACUGAAGACCUAGUAGCUGCUCUAGAUUCAGAUCUGGGAUAAAAAAAAAAAA